CGUAAACGAUGAGUGCUAAGUGUUAGGGGGUUCCGCCCUUUAGUGCUGCAGCUAACGCAUUAAGCACUCCGCCUGGGGAGUACGACCGCAAGGUUGAAACUCAAAGGAAUUGACGGGGGCCCGCACAGCGGUGGAGCAUGUGGUUUAAUUCGAAGCAACGCGAAGAACCUUACCAGGUCUUGACAUCCUUUGACCACUCUAGAGAUAGAGCUUUCCCUUCGGGGACAAAGUGACAGGUGGUGCAUGGUUGUCGUCAGCUCGUGUCGUGAGAUGUUGGGUUAAGUCCCACAACGAGCGCAACCCUUAUUGUUAGUUGCCAUCAUUAAGUUGGGCACUCUAGCGAGACUGCCGGUGACAAACCGGAGGAAGGUGGGGAUGACGUCAAAUCAUCAUGCCCCUUAUGACCUGGGCUACACACGUGCUACAAUGGACAGUGCAAUGAGCAGCGACACGGCGACGUGAAGCGAAUCUCAUAAAGCUGUUCUCAGUUCGGAUUGUAGGCUGCAACUCGCCUACAUGAAGCCGGAAUCGCUAGUAAUCGCGGAUCAGCACGCCGCGGUGAAUACGUUCCCGGGCCUUGUACACACCGCCCGUCACACCACGAAAGUUUGUAACACCCGAAGUCGGUGAGGUAACCGCAAGGAGCCAACCGCCUAAGGUGGGAUAGAUGAUUGGGGUGAAGUCGUAACAAGGUAACCAAGGGCGAAUUCCAG
rnacentral:rRNA from 1 species